GGUUUGUUAGUCUUUUCCGAAAGCCAGCUCUUUGGCCAGGUGUAGAAACCCAUGCCUGUAACCCUAGCACUAACGAGGCUUGUGUCCUGAGUUUUCAAUCAGCAGGGCCUAUAUAGUAAAGUCCUGACUCAGACCAAUUCAAUUAUGUUUCAUUGAUCAUUUCUGUUGUUUUCUUUAGUUUCUUUCAUUUAUCUCAGUCAUUAUUUGUUUCCUUCUGCUAAUUUUUAUUUGGUUUGUGGCUUAAGAGGCAAUGUUAAGUUGUAUAUUUGAGAGCUCUGUGGGGGUUUUAUGUAGGCCCAUUAUUACUGCAUGCUUGCCUUUUGGUAGAUCAGAAAAUUGUAACAUAGAGUUUAUCAGUGUCAUACUUUUCUGAACAUGGACCUCUGGCAAAUUUACCAGUUCUCUGUCUACGUAAAUCCGUUUGGUUUUUUGAGACAGGCUUUCGAACUCAAGAGAACUCAGCCUCUGCCUCCCAGGUGUGGGGAUUAAAGGCGUGUACCAUUACCACCUGGUUUAUAAGUAUGGGCAGUCUCUUUAAGAGCUUAAUAAAUAAAAUGAGUUUUGAAAUUGUAACCGGCAGCAAUUGUCAUAUUCUUGGUACAUUUAUGAAUUCUACCAAAACGACUUAAAAAGACAACUUUCCCUAGACAGGUAUUACAUUGCAGAAAGCAAAAUAAACGUGGAAAUCUUAAGCGUAAUGAUUGUACAGCCUGACCCCGAGUUUUAGAAAUGCAGAAACAAACCCAGAUGAGGGAGUUGCUUGCUCUAGGUUAAAUUCAUUCGCAAUGUUGUGAGGCUGCUAGGUCCCGUUAUCUUGCUCUAAUAUAACUGUGAUUCCUUUGUAGUCUAGCUAUGGAGUCUUGACUGCCUUAACUGUGCUAUCCUCCUGCCUCAGUCUGCUGUGUACUGAGGUUCCUCCAAUGACCCCUUUACAGGACUUUACAGCACAAAUUGAUUUGCUCUCCAGUGCUUACUUCUGUAUUUUAAAUGACUCUAAAUUUUCAUCAUAAUGUUCUUUUCCUAUCUCUUAAUGAUUUAAUUAAGGCUAACUUAUUUUGCUUACUAGGUGAAAUAAAACAGCUUUUUAGUAUGUCAGUACCUAAUCAGUGUGGCUACGUGAAUAAAUAAGUUUAUUCCCACUGCCCAUUUACUACAAAUUAUAACACUGAGAACGGUUAAAACUAGAAAUUAGACUGAGGUAUGGUUUUCAGAAAUGAGAGACAACGUUUGUCCUAUUUCCAAAUAGUUGAUGCCUCUGACUGAAUAGGGAUGAGUGAUAUACUGAGUGAGAAAGGAAGCAAACACGGCGAUCCUGGAAGUGACCUGCUUGACAUUUGAGCUUUAAAAACAGCAAAGGAAAGAACAGGAAGAAUAGCAUCUACGAAUGGUGUUCAGCUGAAAGCUGUUAAGUUGGCUGUGUGAAUCCAGAUGGACUCGGACUUUGUAUUUCCUCUUGGCAGCUAUGACUAAAUAUGCAUAAUACAAUCAGAACACUCAGGAAAAGGCUUUAGUAGUAUGAUUCAAGAAUGAAAUUCAAGGCACACACCUGUAAUCCGAGCACACCAGAAACAAAGUGCAAGGCCAGCUGUAGCUGAGUACACCCUAUCACAGAAAGCAACAAACUCCUAUCCUGGAAAAAAAGGGGAAAUGUUGCUUUGUAGUGUUAUCCCUUUAGUAACUCAGACUUAAAUUUUUUUUUCCCCUCUAAAAUAACUGGAAUGUGGUGGAGGCGAAAUGUCGGUGGUAGAGUGCAAGAGCUUGGCCUGAUUAUUCACGACUGCCAUGAGUUGUAAACCACACUGGGCUGCAGAGCCACCCUUUGUU
rnacentral:lncRNA from 1 species